rnacentral:rRNA from 1 species
CGGCAACAGCUCAAAUUUAAAAUCUGGCCUCUUCGGGGCCCGAGUUGUAAUUUGUAGAGGGUGCUUUGGCGUCGGCCGUGGUCUAAGUUCCUUGGAACAGGACGUCACAGAGGGUGAGAAUCCCGUACGUGGCCGCCGGUCUUCGCCGUGUAAAGCCCCUUCGAC